AGAGCGAACGCUGGCGGCAUGCUUAACACAUGCAAGUCGCACGGGCACUUCGGUGUCAGUGGCGGACGGGUGAGUAACGCGUAGGUAUCUAUCCUUGGGUGGGGGACAACGGUUGGAAACGACUGCUAAUACCGCAUAAUAACUGAGGUUUAAAGGCGCAAGUCGCCUGAGGAGGAGCCUGCGUACGAUUAGCUAGUUGGUGGGGUAAAGGCCCACCAAGGCGACGAUCGUUAGCUGGUCUGAGAGGAUGAUCAGCCACAUUGGGACUGAGACACGGCCCAAACUCCUACGGGAGGCAGCAGUGGGGAAUAUUGGACAAUGGGCGAAAGCCUGAUCCAGCAAUGCCGCGUGGGUGAAGAAGGUCUUCGGAUUGUAAAGCCCUUUCGACGGGGACGAUGAUGACGGUACCCGUAGAAGAGCCCCGGCUAACUUCGUGCCAGCAGCCGC
rnacentral:rRNA from 1 species